CCUACGGGGGGCAGCAGUGGGGAAUAUUGCACAAUGGGGGAAACCCUGAUGCAGCGACGCCGCGUGAGUGAAGAAGUAAUUCGUUAUGUAAAGCUCUAUCAGCAGGGAAGAAAAUGACGGUACCUGAGUAAGAAGCCCCGGCUAACUACGUGCCAGCAGCCGCGGUAAUACGUAGGGGGCAAGCGUUAUCCGGAUUUACUGGGUGUAAAGGGAGCGUAGACGGCAGUGCAAGUCUGGAGUGAAAGGCGGGGGCUCAACCCCCGGACUGCUCUGGAAACUGUACGGCUGGAGUGCGGGAGAGGUAAGUGGAAUUCCUAGUGUAGCGGUGAAAUGCGUAGAUAUGAGGAGGAACACCAGUGGCGAAGGCGGCUUACUGGACUGUAACUGACGUUGAGGCUCGAAAGCGUGGGGAGCAAACAGGAUUAGAUACCCCAGUAGUC
rnacentral:rRNA from 1 species